UACGGAGGUGCAAGCGUUGCUCGGAAUUAUUGGGCGUAAAGGGUAGGUAGGUGGUCUUAUUUGUCUGGGGUGAAAGCCUUGAGCUUAACUCAAGAAGUGCCCCAGAAACGGGUGAGACUAGAGUCUUGGAGGGGUCGUGGAAUUCCCGGUGUAGCGGUGAAAUGCGUAGAGAUGUGGAGGAACACCAGUGGCGAAGGCGGCUCUCUGGGACGGUAGCUGACGCUGAGACGCGAAGCGUGGGAGCGAACGG
rnacentral:rRNA from 1 species